rnacentral:lncRNA from 1 species
AUUUACAAAUAAACCCAAAACAGUCCUGGAAUUGCAAGGAAGGCAUUCUGGAGUUGCAGGAACAGGGCGGCGCGUCUUCUCCACGCGCGGCCGCCACAAGAAAUAACAGGGGAUGGGGGAUCUGGCUUGGCUUCCUCCCUUCUUCUCUUUCUCGCCGGCGGUGACCUGCAAAACAAAAGGAACGCAGCAAGCACACAUGUUCUCGGUCUUCUUUCCUUUUAGAUUUGUUUCACUACAGAUCGUUUUUUUGUUUCACCUUCUUCUCCUCUGCUUCAGAUGGCUGGCGACAAAGAGGAGGGAAGGACGAGAGAGGGGCAAGCAGAUCAGGGA